GGUUGAAGCCAUUGCGAACAGGCAUAUGCUGCAUAUCCCAUGCCAGAGCUUCAUCUUCCUCUAUUGCCUCACCAAGCUCGCCUCAACGGCAUCAUGAAUGAA
rnacentral:lncRNA from 1 species